rnacentral:lncRNA from 1 species
GUUUACGCAACUCAAGUAAGUUUCCACAGGGAGAAAUGGCUUUAAGGGAAAUAAAUAAGCUGUUUACGCUGAACACUAGUUUUUCAGUUUUUCCCCUUGACCAGUUUGAGUGGCUCUUCACCAAGGCGCAUCCAUCAGUGCAGACGAAAGGCGCUGAGGCAGACUGGACGCCCAUACAAUGCACAGACAGGGAGUGUAGCCACUCCUUGAUGAAGGCUCCGCAUCUGCACUGUCCAUUCUGCUCCCAGGACAGUCUCUUCACUGAGGAGAUUCUCCUCAAGGCGCACUACGUACAGGGUCAAGUACGUGGAUAAAGGCAUCAACAUUGGGGGAUGUCAACCAGAUCUUCACCACAUACACUGACCCAGCACCCAACAGUACCAGCCUGGUAACACACCUCAUAGUCCCCCAGUCACAGCAGCCAUCGGAGACAGACACAUCAUCCCCGGGGCUAUGAGCAGACUGAUGGGCAGCAGCCGCAGAUCGAGUACCAAUAUGCCUGCAUCAAUGAUCCGAGUCAGAGCACUGCCAAUGGGGAAGUUGUCCUUAUUGAGAUACCAGACGAAGGAAGCAAAGAGGAUUUGGAGGACGAGACUUGCUACACAGAGCACAACUUGUCGCUGCUGCUGCAGGAGAAGGAAAGUCUGGAGAAGACUCUUGAGGAGGAGCGGACCACGUGGGCCCAGACAGAGCACAGAAUGAAAGGUACUAUAGAAAGGCUUCGUACAAAGGUGAGUGGGCAUUCCAUCUGGUCUUGGUCUAAGAAUGAGUUUGGAUCUUGUUCCCUGCAUGCAACAGGUACCAAGGGCGUCAAUCGCUUCUCAAAAGUGGGAGGGGGGACAUACCUUGAUCAGAACUAAUGCAGGCACACUAA